rnacentral:rRNA from 1 species
CUUGAACGCUGGCGGCAUGCUUUACACAUGCAAGUCGAACGGCAGCGCGGGCUUCGGCCUGGCGGCGAGUGGCGAACGGGUGAGUAAUAUAUCGGAACGUACCCAAGAGUGGGGGAUAACGUAGCGAAAGUUCCGCUAAUACCGCCUACGACCGACGGACGCAAGCAGGGGCUCGCAAGACCUUGUGCUCCUGGAGCGGCCGAUAUCUGAUUAGAUAGUCGGUGAGGUAAAGGCUCACCAAGGCAACGAUCAGUAGCUGGUCUGAGAGGACGACCAGCCACACUGGAACUGAGACACGGUCCAGACUCCUACGGGAGGCAGCAGAGGGGAAUUUUGGACAAUGGGGGCAACCCUGAUCCAGCAAUGCCGCGUGAGUGAAGAAGGCCUUCGGGUUGUAAAGCUCUUUUGUCAGGGAAGAAAAGGUCGGGGCUAAUAUCCACGACUGCUGACGGGACCUGAAGAAUGAGCACCGGCUAACUACGUGCCAGCCGCCGCAGUAA